AUCUUUACGGUUGGGGCAAUGACACAGCUAGUGAGGUGAAACCGAGGCGUGUCAAUUGCUGGUUGAAAACUAUUUCCAACCCCCCUCGUUGAUUCGGGGACUCGAGAAAAGUUCUGACAAGGAAAGGGCCAUCGACAUAUCAGGAUUCGGCAUUUCGUGAUUCUUGAGGACAAG
rnacentral:snRNA from 1 species